rnacentral:tRNA from 1 species
GCAUUAGUGGUUCAGUAGUAGAAUUCUCACCUUCAUGUAGGAGACCCAGGUUCGAUUCCUAGCCAAUGCA